rnacentral:lncRNA from 1 species
GGUGUUCAUAAGACUGUAGUCUUUUUUAUUGUAGGAAUGGUUUCAUUUUCCUUUGAUGAAGUAGAAUUACGUUCACGGUAUGAAACUGUGAGCUUUUCAGGUAAGAACUAAUGGCUCUUGUUUUGAGUACUGUAUUCAGCUCUGGAUCCCCCAGCACAAGAAGGACAGGGACAGCUAAGGGGUUGGAAUUAGAUGAUCUUUAAGGUCCCUUCUAAACCAAACCGUUCUAUGAUUCUAUGGUUCUAUGGUUCUAUGAUUUUAUGGUUCUAUAAUUCUAUGACGGUGGUAUUACCCUAAUGGCAACAUGCUCCUCAUUAACUUACUUGAUAUUUCAGCAGCAUACACUUUUUUUCUGGGGCCAAGGGAAGACCAAACGAACUCAGAGCUGGAAAAGUUGCAGCAGCAGCAGAGGACAUUAGCAGACCCGUGUGAUGUGCAGCUGAAGCAGAGAGGAUGUGUAAAGCUGGUAGAACGGGUAGAAGAGAGGAAGAAUGAGUUAGCCUUUUUCACUCAUGUGGGUGGGAGAAAGACAGGCAGUCAAACAUUCGGCAAGGAUUCCAGGCAGUGUGAAGGGCAAAUAUUCAUCUGGUGGAACUCUUAAGUGUGAUUGUCUUCAAAGGAUGACUACAAUAUUACAUUGAAAUAACAACAGUCUGGACAGUCUUUGCCGGAGCUGGCUGGACACAGCAGAAGAGCCCUUGUGAAAAAUGCCUUUCUG